UACGUAGGGGGCAAGCGUUGUCCGGAUUUAUUGGGCGUAAAGAGCUCGUAGGUGGUUCGGUAAGUCGGAUGUGAAAUCUCCAGGCUCAACCUGGAGGGGUCAUUCGAUACUGCCGUGACUAGAGGUCGGUAGGGGAGUGUGGAAUUCCUGGUGGAGCGGUGAAAUGCGCAGAUAUCAGGAGGAACACCGGUGGCGAAGGCGGGUCUCUGGGCCGUAACCGACGCUGAGGAGCGAAAGCGUGGGGAGCGAACAGG
rnacentral:rRNA from 1 species